rnacentral:rRNA from 1 species
GAUGAACGCUGGCGGCGUGCCUAAUACAUGCAAGUCGAGCGAACGGACGAGAAGUUUGCUUCUCUGAUGUUAGCGGCGCACGGGUGAGUAACACGUGGAUAACCUACCUAUAAGACUGGGAUAACUUCGGGAAUCCGGAGCUAAUACCGGAUAAUAUUUUGUACCGUAUGGUUCAAAAGUGUAAGACGGUCUUGCUGUCACUUAUAGACGGUCCCGGGCUGCAUUAGCUAGUUGGUAAGGUAACGGGUUACCAAGGCAACGAUGCGUAGCCGACCUGAGAGAGUGAUCGGCCACACUGGAAGUGAGACACGGUCCAUAGUACUGCGAGAGGGAGCAGUAGGGAAUCGUCCGCAGUAGGCGAGAGCCUGACGGAGCAACGGCGCGUGAGAGAUGGAGAUGUUCGGAUCGUAAAGCUGUGUUAUUAGGUGAGAACAUAUGUGUAAGUAACUGAGCACAAAGUGACGGUACCUAAUCAGAAAGCCACGGCUAACUACGUG